AGGGCACAGCAGGAAGCCACCUCUCUGCCCGACCUCAAGGAUAAACUUGAAAACGAGAUCACAAAGAAGGACUCUCUGCAUCGACAGCACUGUUUCCAAAGGAACAGGGAGUGGCCGGGAAUGUGUAGGCAGCUGGCCAUUUUGGUCAUCCGGCAUUGAACAGGAAAACCGCAUCCAGCUUCUUGGAAACAUAGUGAGUUUGCCUGGUGUGUUUGUCAAAUGUGUCAGUCGACCCAAAAUGAUAAUCAAAGUGAAAGACUAGGAAGCCAUGAAAAUGACAUUGAGGAAUGCUGUUUGAGAGCACGUAAGAUGUUCCAAAUCAUGAGUGUAAAAGGCAGAUCGCGAAAUACUAUGUGUACAGCAUGUGAUUUAUUUUUGAGGGUUUUAAAGCAUGAUACACGGUCUGUAUAUACACAGAAAGCUAUAUGCACACAGAAGAUGGAAGGAGUCUGUGGGAACAAAUGUUAACCUGGCAAAAACCUCACCUUAUACAUGAUUUUCAAAAUGACUUUAUAUAUUUUUAAUGCUUAUUUAUUUUU